rnacentral:rRNA from 1 species
UACGUAGGGGGCAAGCGUUGUCCGGAUUUAUUGGGCGUAAAGAGCGUGUAGGCGGCUAUACAGGUCCGCUGUGAAAACUCGAGGCUCAACCUCGAGACGUCGGUGGAAACCGUAUGGCUAGAGUCCGGAAGAGGAGAGUGGAAUUCCAGGUGUAGCGGUGAAAUGCGUAGAUAUCUGGAGGAAUACCGGUGGCGAAGGCGGCAUCCUGGACCGACAUUGACGCUGAUGAGCGAAAGCGAGGGGAGCAAACGGG